rnacentral:rRNA from 1 species
CUACGGGAGGCAGCAGUGGGGAAUCUUGUGCAAUGGGCGAAAGCCUGACACAGCAACGCCGCGUGCGGGAAGAAGGCCUUCGGGUCGUAAACCGCUUUCAGCAGGAACGAAAAUGACGGUACCUGCAGAAGAAGGUGCGGCCAACUACGUGCCAGCAGCCGCGGUGACACGUAGGCACCACGCGUUGUCCGGAUUUAUUGGGCGUAAAGAGCUCGUGAGGCGGUUCAGCAAGUCGGGUGUGAAAACUAUGGGCUUAACCCAUAGCCUGCAUCCGAAACUGCUGUGACUAGAGUUCGGUAGGGGAGAGGGGAAUUCCUAGUGUAGCGGUGAAAUGCGCAGAUAUUAGGAGGAACACCGAUGGCGAAGGCACCUCUCUGGGCCGAUACUGACGCUGAGGAGCGAAAGCGUGGGUAGCAAACAGGAUUAGAUACCCUAGUAGUC